UACGGAGGUGGCAAGCGUUGCUCGGAAUCACUGGGCGUAAAGAGCGUGUAGGCGGCCAGGUAGGUCUGCUGUGAAAACUCGAGGCUUAACCUCGAGAUGUCGGCGGAAACCAUCUGGCUAGAGUCCGGAAGAGGAGAAUGGAAUUCCUGGUGUAGCGGUGAAAUGCGCAGAUAUCAGGAAGAACACCCGUGGCUAAGGCGGUUCUCUAGUACGGUACUGACGCUGAGACGCGAAAGCGUGGGGAGCGAACAGG
rnacentral:rRNA from 1 species